rnacentral:rRNA from 1 species
ACUCCUACGGGAGGCAGCAGUAGGGGAAUCUUCCACAAUGGGCGCAAGCCUGAUGGAGCAACACCGCGUGAGUGAAGAAGGGUUUCGGCUCGUAAAGCUCUGUUGUUAAAGAAGAACACGUAUGAGAGUAACUGUUCAUACGUUGACGGUAUUUAACCAGAAAGUCACGGCUAACUACGUGCCAGCAGCCGCGGUAAUACGUAGGUGGCAAGCGUUAUCCGGAUUUAUUGGGCGUAAAGAGAGUGCAGGCGGUUUUCUAAGUCUGAUGUGAAAGCCUUCGGCUUAACCGGAGAAGUGCAUCGGAAACUGGAUAACUUGAGUGCAGAAGAGGGUAGUGGAACUCCAUGUGUAGCGGUGGAAUGCGUAGAUAUAUGGAAGAACACCAGUGGCGAAGGCGGCGUACUUGGUCUGCGAACUGACGCUGGGACUCGAAAGCAU